GUGCUCGCUUCAGCAGCACUAGGAACGAUACAGAGAAGAUUAGCAUGGCCCCUGCGAAAGUAUGACAUGCAAAUUUGUGAAGUUCCUCAUGAAAAA
ensembl:snRNA U6 U6 spliceosomal RNA